rnacentral:ncRNA from 1 species
CUUAUCAAGAGUGGCAGAGGGACAGGCCCUGUGAAGCCCGGCAACCGGACGGUGUCCAAGGUGCUAAUUCCUGCAGAAGCGAUUCUGAAAGAUGAGG